GUGCUUGCUUCAGCAGCACAUAUACUAAAAUUGAAACGAUACCAAAGAUUAGCAUGGCCCUUGGGCAAGGAUGACACGCAAAUUCAUAAAGCAUUCCAUAUUUUA